GGACGCUUAGCUCAGUUGGUUAGAGCACCUGCUUCACACGCAGGGGGUCGCCGGUUCGAGUCCGGCAGCGUCCACCA
rnacentral:tRNA from 1 species